rnacentral:rRNA from 1 species
AUGUUUAACUAUCUCCUAAAGAUCAUAAUCAUCAAACUAAAUCCACCAAAAACUCAUAAUCCACCACACAUCUUUGACUAUCUCUUAACUAAAUCCAAAAUGUUCCAAUUAAUUGAAAAUAUGUUUAUCCACCAACAUAAUCACCAUUCUCAUAUACUAGACCUAAAAUCUCAUAAUCCACCAAACAUUUUUGACCAUCUCCUCAAAACCACAACCACGUACUUGAAUCCAUCAAAAACUCAUCGUCAAAUUUGCUUCAAGAUGACAAUCACCUUACUAAAUCCAGAAAUUCAAGAUUAA